rnacentral:rRNA from 1 species
AAUUCCUGGCUCAGGAUGAACGCUGGCGGCGUGCCUAACACAUGCAAGUCGAGCGAGAAGCUCUUGACGGAUUCUUUCGGAUUGACGGAGAGAGUGGAAAGCGGCGGACGGGUGAGUAACGCGUGGGCAACCUGCCUCUCACACAGGGAUAGCCAUUGGAAACGAUGAUUAAAACCUCAUAACACUGCAUUUUCACAUGGAGAAGCAGUCAAAGAUUUAUCGGUGAGAGAUGGG